rnacentral:rRNA from 1 species
UACGGAGGGAGCUAGCGUUGUUCGGAAUUACUGGGCGUAAAGCGCACGUAGGCGGCUAUUCAAGUCAGAGGUGAAAGCCCGGGGCUCAACCCCGGAACUGCCUUUGAAACUAGAUUGCUAGAAUCCUGGAGAGGUGAGUGGAAUUCCGAGUGUAGAGGUGAAAUUCGUAGAUAUUCGGAAGAACACCAGUGGCGAAGGCGACUCACUGGACAGGUAUUGACGCUGAGGUGCGAAAGCGUGGGGAGCAAACAGG